rnacentral:rRNA from 1 species
UACGUAGGGGGCAAGCGUUGUCCGGAAUCAUUGGGCGUAAAGAGCGCGUAGGCGGCCCUGUAAGUCCGCUGUGAAAGUCAAGGGCUCAACCCUUGGAUGCCGGUGGAUACUGCAGGGCUAGAGUCCGGAAGAGGCGAGUGGAAUUCCUGGUGUAGCGGUGAAAUGCGCAGAUAUCAGGAGGAACACCAAUAGCGAAGGCAGCUCGCUGGGACGGUAUUGACGCUAAGGCGCGAAAGCGUGGGGAGCAAACAGG